GAGAGAUGGCUCAGUGGUUAAGAGCACUGGCUGCUCUUCCAGAGGACCUGGGUUCCAUUCCCAGCACUCA
rnacentral:tRNA from 1 species